AUGGCCCCCACCACCCCACCCAUUGGAUUCGCCAUUGUGCACAUGGGCAAGCACAAGCUGCUCCUGGGCGCGCACCUCCUCGUGAGGCGCCGCAAUAAGUCCCUCUCGCGCUCCGUUUCCAAAUUCCUCUCCCACCACCACGAGCACCACAGAGGCCGCCGCGAGUACGAGUUCUCUUGCAGUGGCAGCCUUGACCUGGGCUCCUUCUCCAUGCACUGCCGCGUCCCCGCGUCGUCGUUGCCCGGGGCGCUGAUGAUGCGUGAGGAGCUCACGAUUGGGAAGGAAUGCAAGUCUGGGGGGAUGCCGCCGUUGGUGCCCGGCGCGGUCGACGGUGGGUUCUCGGUGCGGGUGUCCAACUUCCCGCCGGACAAGGUCGACGGGGACCAACUGGGUCUGGGCGAGGCCGUGGACGACGAGGCAGAGGAGUUCAUCGCCCGCUUCUACGCCCAGCUGCGUCGGUAG
rnacentral:rRNA from 1 species